rnacentral:rRNA from 1 species
GACGGACGCUGGCGGCGUGCUUAACACAUGCAAGUCGAACGGAAAGGCCUGCUUUCCCUUGUGGAUUGCGGGUACUCGAGUGGCGAACGGGUGAGUAACACGUGAGUGAUCUGCCCCCAACUUGGGUAUAAGCCUGGGAAACUGGGUCUAAUUCCCGAUAGGACUGCAGGGUGGUGCCUGUGGUGGAACACGAUUUUCUAGUGGUUGGGGAUGAGCUCGCGGCCUAUCAGCUUGUUGGUGGGGUAAUGGCCUACCAAGGCGGCGAGGGGUAGCCGGCCUGAGAGGGUGGACGGGGACAUUGGGACUGGGGUACGGCGCAGACGGCUAGGGGAGGCAGGAGUGGGGAAUAUUGGGGAGUGGGCGGGAGCCUGAUGCAGCGACGGCGCGUGGGGGGUGACGGGGUUGGGGUUGUAAACUCCUGGGGACGGAGAGGAGGCGACGUGGUUGGAGGGGUGGUGACGGUAGUGGUAGAAGAAGCACCGGCUAACUACGUG